rnacentral:lncRNA from 1 species
AUGACCGAUUCUGCCUCUGUAUUUCACAUUGGGUUGGUGGGGGGCAAUAGGAAGGAGAUGAUGGAAAAAGGAAAAAGAAUAGGAGGUUGGAUUUUUGUAUAUAUCCUAAUGAGGAGAAAGACACGAGAGCAUAUAUCUAGUGCUCACUGGAUUAUCAUCACCAUGAAAAAUCGGCAAGGAAGACCUAUUAGUUGUGUACAGACAUGUUCAAAUUUGGUACACUGACAAAGGAUGGGGCCAGCCUAGGGAGUCCUUACCCUUGCUAGAUCAAGAGCCUUAAUCUUGUGUGGUAAGUGGGUGGGUGUGGAUGUGUAAUAUCCUACUGUGAGCUCUGUCAGUGUAGUUCUAAGGGCGAAUAGAUUUACUUUUAACUGACAAGGAAAGGAGGAGCUCUUCCUGGGUUUUCACUACCUAAGUAGGCAAUUAAUGAGAGAGAAUCAGAGCUCUAAGAAAAAAUUGCAGUGGUGUUUAAACUUGAACAUGGAAUCUUCCACUCCCUACCUAAAUGUGCAAUUUGGUAUAAGAUACUUCAGGAUUGAAUUGUAAACUUGUGUUUACCAGCAGGACUUCUUAUGCAGUCCUUUAGCACAUUCUCUUACGUUUCUACACUAGGUUGUGUUAGUUGCUAAACCCUGAGACACCAACCGUUUCUCUCAAAAAUCAUCUUAGAUUGUACAAGGGCUACAGCGUCCCAAGCCCUGACCUCUCCCCACUUUUUCAAAAAUCACUGUCCAUACAUUAUAUCUUCUACUUAUAAUUAUAUUGCUAAAUUAUAUUGGAAUUAAAGAAUCCCUAAAAACAACUUAAUCAUAGUCUAUAUAAGUGUUCUUCUUUGUUUAUAAGUGUAAGUAGUAUCAUCACUGUGUAGUAUAGAUAUUUCCUCCCACCACCAACCCACCCUGCUUCUUCCCUUCAUUCAUCACUGAGGUGGGACCACUAGAUUUAAUGAAAUUCUGUUUCCUGUGUGACUUGUAUUAUGUUCUACCCACUAAAAUACAAGAGUAGAGUGAAAAGUCACUUGGGAUUACUGCCAGAGGUUGUUCGGAAGAAACCACAUCUAGUAACCCUGUUAUAUCUGGCAUAGUUCAUACUCAGAGCCAGCACGAAAAGACUCAGAAGGUUAAAUUCUCCUACUGGAACAUUUUCAGUUACAUGUGCUUUAGGCGUAUAAAAGGCCUAAUAAUCUCUUUUACCUAAAAAUGCUGUUCUUAUCAAAUAAUAGUUAACUUACUGGGUUUUUUUCUCCCAUAGAUAUGUUGCUUGGAAGUCUUGGGAAAAUGCAGGAAAGGAAACAGAUUGAUAGGCAUUCAGUAUUUUUCGUUCAUGCAGAUAUUUUUAAUCACAGGAAAAUUUUUAAAUUAUUUUUCUGACUUUAGUCAAGGACUCUAUAGAAAGCUGCAGAUUGUGCAGUUUUGACUGGGAUCCUGAUAAUGAUCUAUAAUUUUAGUUUCUUUAUAAUAGUGACCUUUUGUCUUGACUACUAAGAAGGGUUGAGUGAAAUACAGAACUAAAUUCAGUCUUUAUAAUCUACAAUUGAACCUAUACCUAUCCUGAUUUUCAAAAUAUUACUGACUGAUCUGAAGAAUAUGACUAUUAAGAGUUUAGGUCUCUAGGUUUAAGUUAAGAGCUCUCUGUGCUGACCCUUACAUGCUUCCUGAGAAUUAAUAUUAUAGUAAAAAUUAUUGGUGAGCUGCUUCUUUCCAGAUGGGCCCUCCGUUACGUACACGUCUGGUCUUAGACUUCCCCAUACAUCCGCUUUGCCUGGGACAAAGACCUCUUUUGGAUUUUCAUGACCACACAUAUACUGAUUAGCUAAACCUUUAUUUGUAAGUGUAAGCAGACAAGAAAAUGUUACUAGUUAUAUGAAGAGAAUCAAUAGCUUGAACGUGGACAAUGAAGCUGAGCCAUCAAACCAAAUUCUUCACCCUGUCUCUACUAACACAGCUAAUGUAAGAAAAUAGGAGAUAACUUUAAAAAUUUUCAUUAGUAUUCUCACUGAGGUUUUAAAGGAUAUUGUUGCAUCAGCAAAACAAAAACAGGCUAUCCUGAUGACCCUCAGAAUAAAAGUCCAGUUAUUGUGUCCUAUAAGGUCUCAUGGCCUGUCUUCACUUCCUGCUCUCCUCCAGCCCAAUCUUCCUGAUCCAGCCAAAGAGGGCUCCUUGCUGUUCUUGAACAUGAUGGGCUCUUCUCACUUCCCAGGCUCUUCUCUCUGAGUGGGAAGCUCAUUUUUUUUUUUUUUUUUUUGUCUUUUGUCGUUUUAGGGCUGCACCUGUGGCAGAUGGAGGUUCCCAGGGUAGGGGUCUGAUUACAGCUGUUGCUGCCGGCCUACACCACAGCAAUACCAGAUCUGCAAUCUACACCACAGCUCACACAGCCACAAUGGAAACACCCUGCCUGGGAGGCUCUUAAAUAGUCACAUGGCUAACUCCUUUACCUCCUUUAAGAGACUGGAAUGUGAUCUGGCAUAUGGUAGCUGCUCAAUAAAUAGUUUUUGAAAGAUUGAAAUUAAAUAGUAAACCUAGGGAGCUCCUGUGGGGCUCAGAGGAAAUGAAUCUGGCUAGGAUCCAUGAGGACGCAGGUUUGAUCUCUGGCCUCGCUCAGUGGGUUAAGGAUCCAGCAUUGCCAUGAGCUGUGGUGUAGGUCACAGAUGCAGCUUGGAUCUGGCAUUGCUAUGGCUGUGGUGUAGGCCAGAGGCUACAGCUAU